GUUUUCAUUGCUGGCUUGGGCAAAACUUUAACUAAAAUGGACCCAUACAGAGAUUAGCAUGGCUCUCCUGCACAAGAAUGACAUGCAAAUUCGUGAAGAGGUUCAUGUUUUU